rnacentral:rRNA from 1 species
AACGGAUCUCUUGGUUCUGGCAUCGAUGAAGAACGCAGCAAAAUGCGAUAAGUAAUGUGAAUUGCAGAAUUCAGUGAAUCAUCGAAUCUUUGAACGCACAUUGCGCCCGCCAGUAUUCUGGCGGGCAUGCCUGUUCGAGCGUCAUUUCAACCCUCAA